rnacentral:rRNA from 1 species
CCUACGGGAGGCAGCAGUAGGGAAUAUUGCUCAAUGGGCGAAACCCUGAAGCAGCAACGCCGCGUGGAGGAUGAAGGUUUUCGGAUUGUAAACUCCUUUUGUUAGAGAAGAUAAUGACGGUAUCUAACGAAUAACCACCGGCUAACUCCGUGCCAGCAGCCGCGGUAAUACGGAGGGCGCACGCGUUAAUCGGAAUUAAUGGGCGUAAAGAGCGCGUAGGCGGGAUAGCAAGUCAGAUGUGAAAUCCUAGGGCUUAACCAUAGAACUGCAUUUGAAACUGUUAUUCUAGAGUAUGGGAGAGGUAGGUGGAAUUCGUGGUGUAGGGGUGAAAUGCGUAGAGAUCAAGAGGAAUACUGAUUGCGAAGGCGGCCUGCUGGAACAUAACUGACGCUGAUGCGCGAAAGCGUGGGGAGCAAACAGGAUUAGAUACCCCUGUAGUC